UACGUAGGGCGCAAGCGUUAUCCGGAAUUAUUGGGCGUAAAGAGCUCGUAGGCGGUUUGUCGCGUCUGCCGUGAAAGUCCGGGGCUCAACUCCGGAUCUGCGGUGGGUACGGGCAGACUAGAGUGAUGUAGGGGAGACUGGAAUUCCUGGUGUAGCGGUGAAAUGCGCAGAUAUCAGGAGGAACACCGAUGGCGAAGGCGGGUCUCUGGGCCGAUACUGACGCUGAGGAGCGAAAGCGUGGGGAGCAAACAGG
rnacentral:rRNA from 1 species